CCCGUAGAUCUUUUGAAAUGAGUUGAAUCAAAUCUAAGUGGAUUGGGUCAAGUCGAAUCAUGGGUCAACCUAAUCUAUUUGUAGUCAUAGAUUUAGCUCGAUCUAUAGCCUAUAAUUUUGUUGGUUGUACUCAUCCAAUCCAUGAAGCUUACGGGACAUUUAGCCUAAUAGGGUCUAUUUGGCUGUGUGGAUCAAGAAGAUUCAUAGGAUUGGACCAGCACCACUGAGAAAACCAGUC
rnacentral:lncRNA from 1 species